rnacentral:rRNA from 1 species
AUGCAAAGCUUGGCUCAUGAACAAAGCCGGGAGGCUCGCACUGGUCAAGUCGGUGUUGAGCGCCAUCCCAGUUCACCAGCUACUCGCGUUCACCCCACCCAAGAAGACCCUGAAACAACUGGAGAAAAUCCAACGUGGCUUUCUUUGGGCCGGCCGCGCCGUCGCCAACGAAGGGCACUGUCACGUCAAUUGGCGACACGCCUGCCGCCCUGUGGAAUAUGGCGGGCUUGGGAUCCGCUGCUUGGAGCGCGCUGGCCUCGCAUUACGGCUACGAUGGAUGUGGCUCGCCCGCACGGACACAGACCGCGCAUGGAAGGGCCUUGA